rnacentral:rRNA from 1 species
AGUAGAGUUUGAUCAUGGUUCAGAUUGAACGCUGGCGGCAGGCUUAACACAUGCAAGUCGAACGAAGUUAGGAAGCUUGCUUCUGAUACUUAGUGGCGGACGGGUGAGUAAUGCUUAGGAAUCUGCCUAGUAGUGGGGGAUAACUUGGGGAAACCCAAGCUAAUACCGCAUACGACCUACGGGUGAAAGGGGGCUUUUAGCUCUCGCUAUUAGAUGAGCCUAAGUCGGAUUAGCUAGUUGGUGGGGUAAAGGCCUACCAAGGCGACGAUCUGUAGCUGGUCUGAGAGGAUGAUCAGCCACACUGGGACUGAGACACGGCCCAGACUCCUACGGGAGGCAGCAGUGGGGAAUAUUGGACAAUGGGCGAAAGCCUGAUCCAGCCAUGCCGCGUGUGUGAAGAAGGCCUUUUGGUUGUAAAGCACUUUAAGUGGGGAGGAAAAGCUUAUGGUUAAUACCCAUAAGCCCUGACGUUACCCACAGAAUAAGCACCGGCUAACUCUGUGCCAGCAGCCGCGGUAAUACAGAGGGUGCAAGCGUUAAUCG